UGAGUAAGUCGGAUAGUCGCGGAUACCUUUAUAGGUAGACGAGGAAAGUCCGAGCUCCAUAGAGUAGGGUGCUGGGUAAUACCCAGUGGAGGCGACUCCAAGGAUAGUGCAACAGAAAUAAACCGCCACAAUUGUUUGUGGUAAGGAUGGAAAGGUGAGGUAAGAGCUCACCAGCAGCUAGGUGACUAGCUGGCUAUGUAAACCCCACCUGGAGCAAGACCAAGUAGGAACAUGAAAAGAGGGUUGCUCGCUCUCGUUCCGUUGGUAGGUCGCUUGAGCCUACUGGCAACAGUAGGCCUAGACAGAUGGCUAUUUAUUACAGAACUCGGCUUAUAGAUUUACUCAUUAU
rnacentral:RNase_P_RNA from 1 species